AUGUGGGAAACCCUUAGGAACCUGGCUGCCAUCGGAAGAAGCUCAGGUGACCAGCAAAUUGAAGAUGAGUACAAAACUUGCAGAAAAAGUCUAAGAAGUGAAGAGGGAGAGAAAUCCUGUCCGUAUAAAUUAUGGUACCAAGAUGGAGAAAUGGUUGUUCAGACUCCAGAUAUUGUUCCAAUUUUAGUAUAUGUGCUGCCGAAGCGAGCACGUCAGACUCCAGAUACUAAUGUGCACAUGAAACUUGUUCAUAUAAAUCCAGGUGAAAGGCUUUCCUCUAGAAGGCCCCUGAUUGGUCAUUCAUCAGCAAAUGGGCCCAUCACAGCUAACGCUGGACUCAAAUCACAUGAGCAGCAGGGAUUGGAAGAGACGUUGUCUAACUGUAACACACGUGGGAAAACCUGUGCUAAGCUCCAGUCCUCUCAGAAACUUGCAAAGACAAGUCCUGGGGAGAAACCCCAUGAACAUAGGCCAUGUGGAAAGUCCUACUCUGAUUGCACUGAAGAAAGUACCAUUGAAGAGAAGCCAUUUGUUUAUAAGCAAGAUGUGAAAUCAUUCAUUACAGCCAGUGAUGGUCAGAUCGGGAAAGGAUCUGAUGCAGUGAAUACAUACACAUGUAUAUUGUGUGGACUGGGCUUUAAUUCUCACCAUAAUAUUCAGACACAGGAAAAAGCUCUUAUUGGAGGAAAAGUCUAUGCAAGAAAACACUGUGGAAAAUCCUUCACUAACAACAAUUCAUUUGGGAUUGAAUUCGGGACCUUGCCCUUGCGAGGCAGGUGGCAGAACCACUGAGCUAAAUCCCAGCUAAUUCUGUAUAUUCUUGUAGCGGCAGUGUGGGAGUUCAAUACUGUAUCUUCGAUGAGAUGAUAAUUGUAUCCUUUAUGUUGCACUAUGUCAGACCCACAAAUCGAUUGCGUUGUAUUUCUUACAGCCUUGGAGGCUGAAUAUUUUGUAGAGGUUUUUUCCUUUGCUUUUAAUUUUUGUGGGUUAAUAGGAGUCUAAAAUUUAAUUUUAUUUAAGAGUUGUUAUUUUUCUAUUAGUUUUUGUCUCAACUUUGAUACAGUCUAGCAAGAUGCUUUAAAUUCGUCAUGUUUUAGACUUUUAUUACUAAUUUCUGUACAUGUAUUUAAGAGUUCGUUUUCAAACAACGUGUAAAUUAGUAUUAGGUUUCAUAUUCUAAGAAGAUAUGUAUAUCCCACCAUAAUCACAGAUUAUAUGCAGUGCAUAAUUUUGCCUGAUUCCUCUGCAUCAGAGCUCUUAUUAUCGUGUGUAGAAUAUUAGUUAUUUUUAUCAUUAAAUUUUACCUUUCACAUGUAUAUUGUGAUGAUUUAUAUUGGUGGUAAUUUUUCAAUCCCCUAUGCUACAAAUAUCUGUAUUUCUGUGAGUUCACCACUGCCAGAGAGCAGCAGGACCAUAUUUUUUCUCAAAGAACAUACCAUGAAUUAUAGUCAUUCAUCUUUCUACAAGGUGUAUACCAUGAUGUGAUUUGUCAGCCAGAACAUUCUCAGGAGUUUUCUACAGUGUUGAACUUUGUUUUGACAGAAUGAUUUCUAUUCUUUCUAAUGAAGCAGAGUCUUUAUUCUAGUUUGUUGAUGCUGUGAAUGCCAUAUGUGUUUGGAUCAAUUUUUUUAAAGCUAGAAAUCAAAUCAGUGAGUAAAAAAGAGAAAAAGUAAGUUUUUUGAUUCAUCUGUGUUCUUUUAUCAACUUUAGAGAUAAACUUACACUGCUUUUUGUCAUCAUCAGUAAGUAUGGCUGAUGAUUGCAGGAAGUGAUGUCACUUCUACUGCGUAAGAUUUGUGCAGGCCAUCAGUGUCAGACCAGCUGGCAUCCUUGACUCAUUUUACCUCCUUAUUUCCUAAUACUGAAGUGCUUUGUAAAAUAUUCUGCAUUGUUUUUUUUUUUAAUUCGGUAGCUGCUCAGUUUACCAUGGUUGCACUUCAGUAAUUCAAGGUCAAAGCAUAAGUGGCAAGUGCAUUAAGUAGUCCUGAUAUUGGGAAGAGUGAACCUUAUCUCACCUAAGUUCAUUAUGCUUAGACAAUUAAAUUAGCCAUCAGGUGGGCAAUAGUAUAAAAACCAUGUCUUAUUUGUUUGCUCAGUUUGGUUUUUGAGACAGGGUCUCACCAUGUAGACAAGGUUGAUUUUGAACUCUUGGGGGUCCUCAGCCUCCCAAGGAAAUUACCACCAUGUCUGACAAAAAAUAUAUCUAUUUUAUAAUGAAAUAUUAAAUGUCUCGUGUGCUCCAUGAAGUAUACUGCAUUGCAGAAUGUAGUAUUGGCUUUUACAUGCUUGAACAUGGGUCUGAUUUUUCUGCAGCUCAUUUUUCAUUCUUGUCAUCAUGAAGACAUUGCAUAGUGCAUACUGCUAUUCUAGCUAGAGGAAAGGUGAAAAUAGAGGUCAUUUUAUCCUGAGCAUAUAUAUUUCCUACAUCAAAAAAACCUAUAACUGUAUGAGGCUUUGGGGGGCAUCUAAACAGGAACCAUAGUACUUAGUCUUGUUUAUUGUCUUUUUUCAGGCUUACGGCACCAAAAUCUUAAAUAUACUGUGUUCCUAAAUUAAAUUUCCUGCCAGGCGUGGUGGUGCAUGCCUGUCAUCCCAGCACUUGGGAGGCCAAAGCAGGAGGAUCGCUGUGACAUCAAGGCCAGCCUGGGCUACAUAGUGAGUUCCAGGCCAGCCUGAAUUACACAGUGAGACCCUGUCUCAAAAACCACCAAAAAAAAGGGGCUGGGGAUUUAGCUCAGUGGUUUUGCCACCUCCCUCGCAAGCGCAAGGUCCCGAGUUUGAUCCCCAGUACCAAAAAACAAAACAAAAAACACCAAAAAAAUUAACUUUCCUGUUAAAGUACAGAAAUUAAACUUAAGAUAGAAAACAACAAUGUACUAGAUGGCUGUCUCCUCUAAAAUGCGCCAUCCCUGCACCUGUGAAAUGAGCCAUUUUCUUUUAAUAUAGUUUUACUUAUUUAAUUUUUAUACUUGUGAUAAAUAGUUGAUUAAUUCAUUCUUGGAAGUUGGAAUACACACACAUUAAAGCUGAGACAUAUUUAGCAUUUCUUCUUUCCCU
rnacentral:lncRNA from 1 species